UUUGCGGUACAGGAUGGGCCCGCGGCCUAUCAGCUUGUUGGUGGGGUAAUGGCCUACCAAGGCGACGACGGGUAGCCGGCCUGAGAGGGCGACCGGCCACACUGGGACUGAGACACGGCCCAGACUCCUACGGGAGGCAGCAGUGGGGAAUAUUGCACAAUGGGCGCAAGCCUGAUGCAGCGACGCCGCGUGAGGGAUGACGGCCUUCGGGUUGUAAACCUCUUUCAGUAGGGACGAAGCGCAAGUGACGGUACCUACAGAAGAAGCACCGGCCAACUACGUGCCAGCAGCCGCGGUAAUACGUAGGGUGCGAGCGUUGUCCGGAUUUACUGGGCGUAAAGAGCUCGUAGGCGGUUUGUCGCGUCGUCUGUGAAAACCCGAGGCUUAACCUCGGGCCUGCAGGCGAUACGGGCAGACUUGAGUACUGUAGGGGAGACUGGAAUUCCUGGUGUAGCGGUGGAAUGCGCAGAUAUCAGGAGGAACACCGGUGGCGAAGGCGGGUCUCUGGGCAGUAACUGACGCUGAGGAGCGAAAGCGUGGGUAGCGAACAGGAUUAGAUACCCUGGUAGUCCACGCCGUAAACGGUGGGUACUAGGUGUGGGUUUCCUUCCACGGGAUCCGUGCCGUAGCUAACGCAUU
rnacentral:rRNA from 1 species